AGUGAACGCUGGCGGUAGGCCUAACACAUGCAAGUCGAACGGCAGCACAGUAAGAGCUCGCUCUUACGGGUGGCGAGUGGCGGACGGGUGAGGAAUACAUCGGAAUCUACUUUUUCGUGGGGGAUAACGUAGGGAAACUUACGAUACUACCGCAUACGACCUACGGGUGAAAGCAGGGGAUCUUCGGACCUUGCGCGAUUGAAUGAGACGAUGUCGGAUUAGCUAGUUGGCGGGGUAAAGGCACACCAAGGCGACGAUCCGUAGCUGGUCUGAGAGGAUGAUCAGCCACACUGGAACUGAGACACGGUCCAGACUCCUACGGGAGGCAGCAGUGGGGAAUAUUGGACAAUGGGCGCAAGCCUGAUCCAGCCAUGCCGCGUGGGUGAAGAAGGCCUUCGGGUUGUAAAGCCCUUUUGUUGGGAAAGAAAAGCAGCAGGUUAAUACCCCGCUGUUCUGACGGUACCCAAAGAAUAAGCACCGGCUAACUUCGUG
rnacentral:rRNA from 1 species